GACGAACGCUGGCGGCGUGCUUAACACAUGCAAGUCGAGCGGAAAGGCCCUUCGGGGUACUCGAGCGGCGAACGGGUGAGUAACACGUGAGUAACCUGCCCUUCACUUUGGGAUAACCCUCGGAAACGGGGGCUAAUACCGGAUAUGACUGCUGAUCGCAUGGUUGGUGGUGGAAAGUUUUUCGGUGGGGGAUGGGCUCGCGGCCUAUCAGCUUGUUGGUGGGGUGAUGGCCUACCAAGGCGACGACGGGUAGCCGGCCUGAGAGGGCGACCGGCCACACUGGGACUGAGACACGGCCCAGACUCCUACGGGAGGCAGCAGUGGGGAAUAUUGGCACAAUGGGCGGAAGCCUGAUGCAGCGACGCCGCGUGAGGGAUGAAGCCC
rnacentral:rRNA from 1 species